GGGAUAGCCCGGCGAAAGUCGGACUAAUACCGCAUAAAACAGGGGUUCCACAUGGAAAUAUUUGUUAAAGAAUUAUCGCUGAUAGAUGGGCAUGCGUUCCAUUAGAUAGUUGGUGAGGUAACGGCUCACCAAGUCCACGAUGGAUAGGGGUUCUGAGAGGAAGGUCCCCCACACUGGUACUGAGACACGGACCAGACUCCUACGGGAGGCAGCAGUGAGGAAUAUUGGUCAAUGGGCGAGAGCCUGAACCAGCCAAGUCGCGUGAAGGGUGAAGGAUCUAUGGUUUGUAAACUUCUUUUAUAUGGGAAUAAAGUGAGGAACGUGUUCCUUUUUGUAUGUACCAUAUGAAUAAGCAUCGGCUAACUCCGUGCCAGCAGCCGCGGUAAUACGGAGGAUGCGAGCGUUAUCCGGAUUUAUUGGGUUUAAAGGGUGCGUAGGUGGUUAAUUAAGUCAGCGGUGAAAGUUUGUGGCUCAACCAUAAAAUUGCCGUUGAAACUGGUUGACUUGAGUAUAUUUGAGGUAGGCGGAAUGCGUGGUGUAGCGGUGAAAUGCAUAGAUAUCACGCAGAACUCCGAUUGCGAAGGCAGCUUACUAAACUAUAACUGACACUGAAGCACGAAAGCGUGGGGAUCAAACAGGAUUAGAUACCCUGGUAGUCCACGCAGUAAAC
rnacentral:rRNA from 1 species